rnacentral:rRNA from 1 species
UAAGGAAUAUUGGUCAAUGGACGCAAGUCUGAACCAGCCAUGCCGCGUGGAGGAUGAAGGUCCUCUGGAUUGUAAACUUCUUUUAUCUGGGAAGAAAUCCAUCUUUUCUUGGAUUGGUUGACGGUACCAGAUGAAUAAGCACCGGCUAACUCCGUGCCAGUAGCCGCGGUAAUACGGAGGGUGCAAGCGUUAUCCGGAUUCACUGGGUUUAAAGGGUGCGUAAGGUGGGCAGGUAAGCCAGUGGUGAAAUCUCCGGGGCUUAAACUCGGGAAACUGCCAUUGAUACUAUCUGUCUUGAUACCCUGAGGUGAGCGGAAUAUGUCAUGUAGCGGUGAAAUGCUUAGAUAUGACAUAGAACACCCAUUAGCGAAGGCAGCUCACUACGGGAAUAUUGACACUGAGGCACGAAAGCGUGGGGGAUCAAGCAGGAUUAGAUACCCUGGUAGUCCACGCCCUAAACGAUGGAUACUCGACAUCAGCGAU